AUAUGACUUAUUGUGUCUCAUCGAUUUGAAAAUAUUUUCAGUUGAAGGUCCGGCCAAAAUACGAAAUUUAGACGGUCCAACGACCUUUUCCGUGCAUUUAGGGGUUUGACUUACGGGAUUGACCGUCCGGAUCGAGCACUUAACCUUGUCAGAUCAAGUUGAAUUUUUUCCCAUACAUGUAUCUUAUCAUGAUGGUCAGAUCUGACCGUCCGAUUUCAUUUUCUCAAGUUUGAUCAUCACAAUCACAACAUGCCUACUAAUGUUGUAUAACUUGUUUACCAAGUGUUAAGUAAAUGUUCCGUUUCAAAAACAAACUAUACGUAGAACCUUCAAACGUAAAAAAGUCGUGAAAUAAGACAUGACCAGAAUGGUGAAAUACAUCUACGGUUGAAAAAUCACGGUAUUCCGGUAAAGUCUCGGUGUUGAUAGUUGCGGUCAAUGCAAUUUUCCAUUCUUUCUCCCUAUGGGUAGCCCUAUCUUCGGUGGUUAUUUUGCGUAAAAUUUUUAUAGGACUUGUUGCGUCUCAUCAGUUUGAAACUAUUUUCAGUUGAAGGUCCGGCCAAAAUACGUAAUUUAGACAGUCCAAUGACCUUUUCCGUGCGUUUAGGGGUUUGACUUAACGGAUUGACCGUUCAGAACCUUGUCGGAUCAAGUUGAAUUUUUUCCCAUACAUGUAUUUUAUCAUGGUGGUCAGAUCUGACGGUCGGAUUUUCGUUCUCAAGUUUGAUCAUCACAAUCACAAUCACAGUUUGACGAAUGGUUAAUUGUUUUAAAGCCGACGAAUUUCAAAGGUUUUGCCGAUGAAUUUAUUGUUUAGCCGACGAAUUUCAUAGGUUUAGCCGACGAAUUUCAAAGGUUUAGCCGACGAAUUUUAUCUUAGCCGACGAGAUUAUUAUUUUAGCCGACGAGAUUAUUAUUUCGUCGGCUAAAGUUUUCGGGUAUAACUCGACUGGUUAAUUGUAAGCCCUAGCCUCCGCCUCCUCUCCCUCUCCAAAUUUCCCCUCCUCCGCCUCCGCUCCCUCUCCCGGUCGCCGCCCUCUCCCCUCUCCCUCUCCCUNUCCC
rnacentral:lncRNA from 1 species